UUGAAGAGGACUUUUUUUUGGAAGAAAAAAGAUUCAAGCAGUACUGUGAAGAAUUUGUUAAACAUUCACAGCAAAUAGGGGAUGGCUGGGAGUGGAGAACUACUAAGGACCUUGGUGAUGGCUAUCUCAGUAAAACGCAUUUCCAGGUAACAAAUAAAAGCAUCUCACCAGAUCUCAAGAAGGAAAACGGUAGCACUGAACAAACGUUGCUUACGCAUGUCGAACAGGAAUGAAUUUCAUUCUGUG
rnacentral:lncRNA from 1 species